rnacentral:rRNA from 1 species
GAAGGCGAGCACUCUAGACGAACUGCCGUUGACAAAACGGAGGAAGGUGGGGAUGACGUCAAGUCCGCAUGCUCCUUACGUCUAGGGCUACACACGUGCUACAAUGGGCGGUACAAAGGGGUCGCAACCCGUAAGGGGGAGCAAAUCCACUUAAAGCCGUCCUCAGUUCGGAUUGAGGUCUGCAACUCGACCUCAUGAAGCUGGAAUCGCUAGUAAUCGCGGAUCAGCAUGCCGCGGUGAAUACGUUCCCGGGCCUU